GCUGGGGUACUUGUUCUCGGUGGACUGUGGGACUCGCAGGAGGUAAAAAGCUGUGCGGCGCGGUGUGUUAUUCGCAAUUAACUCUAGAAUCUGUCUCUGUCUCUGUUCGCUCUCUCUCACACGCGCGCACACACACGCGCACACACACACCCUGGUUCCGUCUGUUAUUCUCAGUCAACUCUAGAAUCUUUGUCUCUCUGCUCUCACACUCACACAGAACACACCCUGGUUUGAUCUGUGAUUCUCAGUUAACUCUAGAAUCUGAAUCUGUGUCUCUAUCUCUGACUCUUCACGCGCGCGCGCACACACACACACACACACACACACACAUCCCUCUCAUCUCAUGGCCGCAUUGACUCAUUGAUAGUUGCUCGUGGAUUUUUAUUUAUUGCUUGUUGUGCUCCUGGAUUUUGAUUCGUCUUUUUAUUUACCCCCCCAGGGGGGGAAAAAAACCCCUACCUGUAUUAAAAUCUGUGGGGUUUCAGCGUUGUUCGUUCACGUUCAAGAUGGGAAUAGGGCAGUAUGAUGAAAAUAACCCGAUCUAGCCGCUGUUUAGAUUGGAUAAAGCACUAGUUCAUUUUAGACUUGAUAUUAUUAUUUGAAAUGUACGUUUUACAACCCCGUGGAGAAAGUAUCCUUUGCCUGGAUCUCUCCCUCUUUUUUUUUUCUUCCUUUGUGGUAAUUGACAGAAUUCUUAAUUACCCAGUUAACAAAGUGCUUGAGUUGUCUUCUGAUUUUAAACGGCAGAUCUUGAAAUGGUUGUAGGUUGGCGUGUGGAUGACUCCAUGUCUUUCUUUAAUGAACUGAUCAGAAUGGUGUUCGUCUGAGACUUAGUGAGUGUAUGUUUCGAUUCCUAAGUAAUUUCUCAAACCAUCCGGGGAGAGGGACUCCUCAGAAAUUCUCCACACAGAGGAGAAAGAACACUUUUACCUCUUGGAGCAAAUAUUUGGGCCACUUUUCCCCCAGUUGUCCCUGUUAGUUGCCUGGAAAAGAUGCGUGGUUGAUGAAUCCAUGGCUUAUUUGUCUUUUAUGUCUACAGGUGGCAGUGUGGAAGCCAAAACGGGAGCUUCCAGAAGUGGUUUCUGAAAAAUAAGAGUGAAUAUGCACGAGGGAGCUCGGACAGGAAUCACAAAAACCGCAGGGUCUUCCUCUGAGCCAACGGAGGAGGCAGAUUGGGGAGGCCUGAUGUGGACGGUGGAGGCCUCCUUGUCCUUCCAGAAGCCGUAGUGGCAGCCGUGUCCUGUCUUCCAGAGGAGGCAGAUGGGAAGGGAGGCAAGGACUUUCUGCCUCGUGGAUGACCGUUCGGAGACCCGAAGAAAACACUUUUCAAAGAUUUUUGGCAAGCGGCUUCUAAAGAUAAGUUUACAGUGUGGGUUUCGUCUCCAAACAUUUUUAAAAAUUUUUUUAAAAUGUUUAUUUAUUUUUGGUAAAGAGAGAGACAGAGCAUGAGCAGCGGAGGGUAGGGAGAGAGAGGGAGGCACAGAAUCGGAAGCAGGCUCCAGGCUCCGAGCUGUCGGCCCAGAGCCCGACGUGGGGCUCGAACCCACAAACUGCGAGAUCAUGACCCGAGCCGAAGUCGGACGCCUAACCCACUGAGCCACCCAGGCGCCCCUCCCAACAUUUUUCUUUCUUUUUUUUUUUUUUUUUUAUGAAAAACUCCCAAGUCUACAGCAAAGCGGAACCUA